AUGGCUUUGGGCUGGAGGCUGGAGCUCCUCGUCCUCUCCUCCACAGCUUGCAGCUUGCAGUUUCUAGUCUUGGAGGCGGUGUUCGUCAUCUGUGACCUGGCGGACCCAUUCCUCCCAGCGUUCAGGCUGCCUAACCAGUUGAUGUGGUGGGCUUUGAUGUGCGGCGCCUUCCCGUGGAGUUUGGUGCUACUGGUGUUACAGGUCAACUGGCUGUCUCUCCACGGCAGGGAGCCAACCAAUGUCGAGCUCCUGGUCCUCAUCGCGGUGGAGUGGGUCGUCGCGUGUUUCACCUUCGGCUCAGCGUGUGCCGCCCUCGCCGUCGACCAGUUUGCCAUCCAGCACAACCACUGCCGCCCGGGGGCCACCGUCUGCUUAAUGUACCUUGUCGUCAUCUCAACCGCAUGUGCCGCCGGGGCUCUCGCCGCCGUGUCGGCACUCGGGAUGCUCUGGAUCCUCGCCUCCCGGUUCCACCCGGCUCAUGCGGCCUAA
rnacentral:rRNA from 1 species